AUGUAGAACUGUAUUGGAUUUGUUUUGGAUGAUAAAAUAAUGAAGUUAAGAUGGGAAAAAUUCAAUCAACCAUCAGAGGAAUCAAUGAGCUUUAUAGACUGCUGUUAUUAAUUCAAGUUUCAACGCUAUUCUUCAGAAGAGGAAAUGGUGUGUCCAUGAUCUUUUUAUCGGGGUCUCUGUGACUGGUGGAAAGUUACCUGGCC